CUCGCCUGGUGUCGCAUGGAAUACGCUCAGUAUUGUUUGUCGGGUUGUGUUGUGAACACGCGAUUCGAUGCGUGAAGAUAAAAUCAGUAAAUCGCGUUAUAUAUCGGCGAAUUAUUGACAUUCCGCUAUUAAUUUGUAAUGUGUUGUGUUGUGCUAAACUUCAUUGCGCGGAACAUACUCGUGAAACCCAAUUUAAAUGAUUUUCACCUGUUCUGUGUCGUCCAGCAUUCAAUUGUGGAUUAACGCAAGCCACGUUUUGACCCUGUUGAUGUUUACGAAGUAUUUGCCGUGCCUUGGAGUCCGAUGUGUUUCUGCAUUGUAUUUGCCGUGCCUCGGAGUCCGAUGUGUUUCUGCAUUGUACUUUCUAUGAUUACCUGAUGCACUGGUAAGUUUGUAAACGUUAUUACAUUAUACUUUCAUAUUUAUCUAAAAUUGCAUGUAACGUGAAUACCGUAACAACACAAAAUUGAUGCGUGCCGUCGGAUGCGACUUGGAUCUACCCGCAGAGUAUGGUCAUGUCAAUCAUCGGUUUAAUAACGUGAAAUUUUCCUUGCUCGCAUUUUUAUUUCAUAAAUCUGCAGGCUGUUUAACGUAUUUUCGUAGUUUGGCAAUUAAUUAUUGAGAGUAAUAUAUUUGUAAAAGACGAUUUAAUUUUCUUUCGCGUGUGUGCUUGAGUUGCCGUCGGCGGACACAUUUUGCCUUGCUUGUGGCGUAUCUGGAGAAGCGUCGCAAGGAAAAUUUCAAGAUCGCAAUAAAAUUCAUAUUGAUGUUUUAUUUAUUCACAACUCUAGCUUCUCUACCUUUCCAUUUCUUGAUAUUCUGAGAGAAACAGGUAUUAGUUUAAAUUUUCUUGUUGUGUCACCUUCUAAUUAUGAAUGAAAUUCUCUGCAUCGAAAAUUUUGAAUUUUCUAAUAAACUGUAGCGAUUUUCUUCUUGUAUCACCCUAUAUUCUACUUUUCCUUGCGUUCUAGUGUAAAACUGACUAAAUUGGUCGUUUCUGGGUCGUUUUCUACUUAAACUUUGUAUUUUAUUUUUAAUUUUAGGAAUUUCCUGUUUGUAUCACCCUGUAUGUUUGUUUUUCUUGACUUCCUAUUAUAAGUUUUCUAAAUUUGGUAUUCCCGACUGUUUCCUUCUUUGUACUAUUGAUUUUCUUUUUGUAACACCCUGUAUAUUUGUUUUCUUUAAUUUCCUAUGAAAAACUGUCGACAUUUAGUGUUUCCUAAUAUUUUCCAUCUUGAACUUGGCAUUUUCUUUUGUGAUGUAGUAAAUUCCUUUUUGCAGUACCCUGUAUAUUUGUUUUCCUUGUUGUCCGUGAAAAUUUAGCUUUAGUUGUUGUUUUAGGUUUUUCUUCUUUUUUCUAUUUGUAACACCCUGUAUAUUUGUUUUCCUGAUUGUCGGUGAAAACGAGCGUUUGUAAUGUUUAGAGGUUUUCGUUUGCACUUAAAAUUUUCUUUUUGUAACUCCCUGUAUAUUUGUUCCCAUUUUCACUCACGUAGAAAAUGGUCUAUUUCCUAAUUUCUUUAUCCCGGUAGUACUUUGCGAAGUGCAACUUGCUUGCAUGUGCGCGGCUAUGCAGGUCGUAAGUCUUGUUUCAAUAUGGCGACAUGUAUUCUGUUGACUUGUAAAAUAUAAACUUGUAUUCUAUUGUUAAUAAAUGAAUAGUACGAUA